rnacentral:rRNA from 1 species
AAACCAGCACCUCAAGUGGUCAGGAUGAUUAUUGGGCCUAAAGCAUCCGUAGCCUGCUUUGCCAGUUUUCGGUUAAAUCCAUACGCUUAACGUAUGGGCUGCCGGAAAUACUACAAAGCUAGGGAGUGGGAGAGGUAGACGGUACUCGGGAGGAAGUGGUAAAAUGCUUUGAUCUCUCGAUGACCACCUGUGGCGAAGGCGGUCUACCAGAACACGUCCGACGGUGAGGGAUGAAAGCUGGGGGAGCAAACCGGAUUAGAAACCCGUGUAGUCC